GAUCCUGGCUCAGAAUCAACGCUGGCGGCGUGCCUCAGACAUGCAAGUCGAACGAUUAAGACUCCCUUCGGGGAGUGUAUAAAGUGGCGCACGGGUGAGUAACACGUAAGUAAUCUACCUUCGAGUGGGGAAUAACGUUCGGAAACGGACGCUAAUACCGCAUAACGCAGCGGCAUCGCAAGAUGACAGUUGUUAAAGGAAUUUAUUUCGCUUGAAGAGGAGCUUGCGGCAGAUUAGCUAGUUGGUAAGGUAACGGCUUACCAAGGCUACGAUCUGUAUCCGGCCUGAGAGGGCGGUCGGACACACUGACACUGAAUAACGGGUCAGACUCCUACGGGAGGCAGCAGUCGGGAAUUUUGGGCAAUGGGCGAAAGCCUGACCCAGCAACGCCGCGUGAGGGAUGAAGUAUUUCGGUAUGUAAACCUCGAAAGAAUAGGAAGAAUAAAUGACGGUACUAUUUAUAAGCUCCGGCUAACUACGUGCCAGCAGCCGCGGUAAUACGUAGGGAGCAAGCGUUGUUCGGAUUUACUGGGCGUAAAGGGCGCGUAGGCGGCGCGGUAAGUCACUUGUGAAAUCUCUGAGCUUAACUCAGAACGGCCAAGUGAUACUGCAGUGCUAGAGUGCAGAAGGGGCAAUCGGAAUUCUUGGUGUAGCGGUGAAAUGCGUAGAUAUCAAGAGGAACACCUGAGG
rnacentral:rRNA from 1 species